UACGUAGGGCGCAAGCGUUAUCCGGAAUUAUUGGGCGUAAAGAGCUCGUAGGCGGUUUGUCGCGUCUGAUGUGAAAGUCCGGGGCUCAACUCCGGAUCUGCGGUGGAUACGGGCAGACUAGAGUGAUGUAGGGGAGACUGGAAUUCCUGGUGUAGCGGUGAAAUGCGCAGAUAUCAGGAGGAACACCGAUGGCGAAGGCAGAUCUCUGGGCAUUAACUGACGCUGAGGAGCGAAAGCAUGGGGAGCGAACAGG
rnacentral:rRNA from 1 species